GGCGAACGGGUGAGUAAUAUAUCGGAACGUACCGAGUAAUGGGGGAUAACUAAUCGAAAGAUUAGCUAAUACCGCAUAUUCUCUGAGGAGGAAAGCAGGGGACCUUCGGGCCUUGCGUUAUUCGAGCGGCCGAUAUCUGAUUAGCUAGUUGGUGGGGUAAAGGCCUACCAAGGCGGCGAUCAGUAGCGGGUCUGAGAGGAUGAUCCGCCACACUGGGACUGAGACACGGCCCAG
rnacentral:rRNA from 1 species